UGGGGAAUAUUGGACAAUGGGCGCAAGCCUGAUCCAGCCAUGCCGCGUGAGUGAUGAAGGCCUUAGGGUUGUAAAGCUCUUUCGCCAGGGACGAUAAUGACGGUACCUGGAUAAGAAGCCCCGGCUAACUUCGUGCCAGCAGCCGCGGUAAUACGAAGGGGGCUAGCGUUGUUCGGAAUCACUGGGCGUAAAGCGCACGUAGGCGGACAAUUAAGUCAGGGGUGAAAGCCUGGGGCUCAACCUCAGAAUUGCCCUUGAUACUGGUUGUCUAGAGUCCGGUAGAGGUGAGUGGAACUGCUAGUGUAGAGGUGAAAUUCGUAGAUAUUAGCAAGAACACCAGUGGCGAAGGCGGCUCACUGGACCGGUACUGACGCUGAGGUGCGAAAGCGUGGGGAGCAAACA
rnacentral:rRNA from 1 species